GGCAGAUAAAGCUCGAUUUUAAGCCAGAUUGAUACAGCCGUAACGUCAUUCACGAUUAGGUAAAUAAAUUAGAAUAUCGUCCGCAGAGUUUCAAUCUUCAACGGUGUGAGGAUCACUAUAGAGCAAGUGACUUUCAAAAAGUACUCAGCAGACUCGCCAUCGUUGAUAGAAUAUGACCGGUAUCGAGAUCUUCGGGCAAGCUAAUCUGGAAUUGUAGUAGCACCACUAAUAAUGAAUUAAAAACAACGUGCCGAUUUAAAUAGUGUUCUAUUAACAUCAAAGAAUCCACCAAGAGACAUGCUGGUCUCGCUCAUUUCUGUUGCACGUAAGAACAUUUGAAUCUGAAAA